UGAAGGCGGAAUCGCUAGUAAUCGCGGAUCAGCAUGCCGCGGUGAAUACGUUCCCAGGCCUUGUACACACCGCCCGUCACACCAUGGGAGUUGGGUUCACCCGAAGGCGUUGCGCUAACCUCGCAAGAGGAGGCAGGCGACCACGGUGGGCUUAGCGACUGGGGUGAAGUCGUAACAAGGUAGCCGUAGGGGAACCUGCGGCUGGAUCACCUCCUUUCUAAGG
rnacentral:rRNA from 1 species